rnacentral:rRNA from 1 species
UACGUAGGGGACAAGCGUUAUCCGGAUUUACUGGGUGUAAAGGGAGCGUAGACGGCAUGGCAAGUCAGAUGUGAAAGCCCGGGGCUCAACCCCGGGACUGCAUUUGAAACUGUCAGGCUGGAGUGCAGGAGAGGUAAGCGGAAUUCCUAGUGUAGCGGUGGAAUGCGUAGAUAUUAGGAGGAACACCAGUGGCGAAGGCGGCUUACUGGACUGUAACUGACGUUGAGGCUCGAAAGCGUGGGGAGCAAACAGG